UUGCGGGGUGGCAGUGCCUUUAACCGGGUGCUGGCAUUGAUGUCCCCCCAGGGGGGCUAGGUGCUUUACCACACGCAACACUGUUACUUUGACAAAAUUAGAGUGCUCAAAGCGGGCAGUCGUAAGAACUCGCUCGGAUAAACUCGCAUAGAAUAACAGAAGAAGACUUGAGUCUUGCUGACUGUUGGUUCCUAUGAUUCAAGUAAUGAUUAAGAGGAACAGGCGGGAGCAUUGGUACUACGAGGCUAGAGGUGAAAUUCUUGGACCCUCGUAUGACUAACAACAGCGAAAGCAUUUGCUAAGAAUGUUUUCAUUAAUCAAGAACGAAAGUUAGAGGAUCGAAGGCGAUUAGAUACCGCCCUAGUUCUAACCAUAAACGAUGCCAACCAGCGAUCAGCCUGAGUUACCUACAGAAUUGACUCGGCUGGCAGCUUGCGGGAAACCAAAGUGUUUCGGGUUCCGGGGGGAGUAUGGUUGCAAAGCUGAAACUUAAAGGGAUUUGACGGAAGGGCACCACCAGGGAGUGGAGGCUGCGGCUUUAUUUUGACUCAACACGGGAAACCUCACCAGUCCGGACACUUGGAAGAUGGACAGAAUUGAGAGGCUCUUUCUAGAUUCAGUGGGUGGUGGUGCGAUGGCCGUUCUUAGUCGGUGGAGUGAAUUUGUCUGCUUAAUUGCGAUAACGGACCGAGACUCUUACCGGGUAGUUAUAUGAGCAGGAGUUUUGGGCAGCCCCUGGCUUCGGCUACGCUGCCU
rnacentral:rRNA from 1 species